rnacentral:rRNA from 1 species
GACGAACGCUGGCGGCGUGCUUAACACAUGCAAGUCGAACGGAAAGGCCCUGCUUUUGUGGGGUGCUCGAGUGGCGAACGGGUGAGUAACACGUGAGUAACCUGCCCUUGACUUUGGGUUAACUUCAGGAAACUGGGGCUAAUACCGGAUAGGAGCUCCUGCUGCAUGGUGGGGGUUGGAAAGUUUCGGCGGUUGGGGAUGGACUCGCGGCUUAUCAGCUUGUUGGUGGGGUAGUGGCUUACCAAGGCUUUGACGGGUAGCCGGCCUGAGAGGGUGACCGGCCACAUUGGGACUGAGAUACGGCCCAGACUCCUACGGGAGGCAGCAGUGGGGAAUAUUGCACAAUGGGCGGAAGCCUGAUGCAGCAACGCCGCGUGCGGGAUGACGGCCUUCGGGUUGUAAACCGCUUUCGCCUGUGACGAAGCGUGAGUGACGGUAAUGGGUAAAGAAGCACCGGCUAACUACGUGCCAGCAGCCGCGGUGAUACGUAGGGUGCGAGCGUUGUCCGGAUUUAUUGGGCGUAAAGGGCUCGUAGGUGGUUGAUCGCGUCGGAAGUGUAAUCUUGGGGCUUAACCCUGAGCGUGCUUUCGAUACGGGUUGACUUGAGGAAGGUAGGGGAGAAUGGAAUUCCUGGUGGAGCGGUGGAAUGCGCAGAUAUCAGGAGGAACACCAGUGGCGAAGGCGGUUCUCUGGGCCUUUCCUGACGCUGAGGAGCGAAAGCGUGGGGAGCGAACAGGCUUAGAUACCCUGGUAGUCCACGCUGUAAACGGUGGGUACUAGGUGUGGGGUCCAUUCCACGGGUUCCGUGCCGUAGCUAACGCUUUAAGUACCCCGCCUGGGGAGUACGGCCGCAAGGCUAAAACUCAAAGGAAUUGACGGGGCCCCGCACAAGCGGCGGAGCAUGCGGAUUAAUUCGAUGCAACGCGUAGAACCUUACCUGGGUUUGACAUGGAUCGGGAGUGCUCAGAGAUGGGUGUGCCUCUUUUGGGGUCGGUUCACAGGUGGUGCAUGGCUGUCGUCAGCUCGUGUCGUGAGAUGUUGGGUUAAGUCCCGCAACGAGCGCAACCCUUGUUCACUGUUGCCAGCACGUUAUGGUGGGGACUCAGUGGAGACCGCCGGGGUCAACUCGGAGGAAGGUGGGGAUGACGUCAAGUCAUCAUGCCCCUUAUGUCCAGGGCUUCACGCAUGCUACAAUGGCUGGUACAGAGAGUGGCGAGCCUGUGAGGGUGAGCGAAUCUCGGAAAGCCGGUCUCAGUUCGGAUUGGGGUCUGCAACUCGACCUCAUGAAGUCGGAGUCGCUAGUAAUCGCAGAUCAGCAACGCUGCGGUGAAUACGUUCCCGGG